AGGGUGACAGGUGGUGCAUGGUUGUCGUCAGCUCGUGUCGUGAGAUGUUGGGUUAAGUCCCGCAACGAGCGCAACCCUCGACCUUAGUUGCCAGCAUUCAGUUGGGCACUCUAAGGUGACUGCGGCUAAAAGUCGGAGGAAGUGGGGAUGACGUCAAAUCAUCAUGCCCCUUAUGACCUGGGCUACACACGUGCUACAAUGGGCGGUACAAAGGGUCGCGAACCCGCGAGGGGGAGCCAAUCCCAAAAAAGCCGCUCUCAGUUCGGAUUGCAGGCUGCAACUCGCCUGCAUGAAGCCGGAAUCGCUAGUAAUCGCGGAUCAGCAUGCCGCGGUGAAUACGUUCCCGGGCCUU
rnacentral:rRNA from 1 species